AAAAAGGAAAUGGAAACCGAAUAAGGAAAUGAAAAUCGAAAAAGGAAAUAGAAACCGAAUAAGGAAAUAGAAACCGAAAAAGGAAAUGAAUAUUGAAAAGGAAAAAAGAAAACCGAAUAAGGAAAAAGAACCGAAUAAGGAAAAAGAAACCGAAUAAGGAAAUGGAAAUUGAAUAAGGAAAUGAAAAUCCAAUAAGGAAAUAGAAACCGAAUAAGGAACUAGAAACCGAAAAAGGAAAUGAAUAUUGAAAAAGGAAAAAGAAACCGAAUUAGGAAAUGAAAAUCGAAAUAAGGAAACGAAAAUCCAAUUAGGAAAUAGAAACUGAAUAAGGAAAUAGAAACCGAAAAAGGAAAUGAAUAUUGAAAAAGGAAAAAGAAACCGAAUAAGGAAAUGAAAAUCGAAUAAGGAAAUGGAAAUCGAAUAAGGAAAUGAAAAUCCAAUAAGGAAAUAGAAACUGAAUAAGGAAAUAGAAACCGAAUAAGGAAAUGAAUAUUGAAAAAGGAAAAAGAAACCGAAUAAGGAAAUGAAAAUUGAAUAAGGAAAUGAAAAUCGAAUAAGGAAAUGAAAAUCCAAUAAGGAAAUAGAAACCGAAUAAGGAAAUAGAAACCGAAAAAGGAAAUGAAUAUUGAAAAAGGAAGAAGAAACCGAAUAAGGAAAAGAAAAUCGAAUAAGGAAAUGAAAAUCGAAUAAGGAAAUGGAAAUCGAAUAAGGAUGAUAAUCGAAAAAGGAAAAA
rnacentral:lncRNA from 1 species